AAAAACAAAAGGCCAGGGCCCACUGAUUUAUCAACAUAGGCUGGCUGCCCCCAUUUUAGUUCCCCUCCUGGCUGGUAUGGAAAUAGCUGGAUCUUCUGCUUUGGGAACUACAACUCUUAUCACAGGCUCUAAAAAUUUUAAGUCCCUCAGCUGUCAAAUAGAUAUAAAUUUAAACUUCAGGCAAUUGGUUCCAAAACCUAUUCUCAUGGUCCCCUUGGUUGACUACCAUCAUUUCAGCCAUAGUUAGGCCCUAGUCCUUCUCCUGAUUGGGAUUACUGUAGGACUCUGCCUCUUAAAAACCCUCCUAAACCAUGUACACAAGAAUGUAGGUGAGGUCAGACUUAUGGUCUUGCAAGCCCUGUAUCCUUAGACACAAAAGGAUGGAAAAAACCCUGAGGCCUAAUGAUGUGAAAGAUUGACAUCAAACCUACUAAAACCAGUGGAGAAUGUGAUAGAAGCAAAUGUGACUCCAUUUUGUUUUAUGACUCCAUCCUGUAAAACAACCAUGCCAAGUAGAAGGAUCAUGACUGGGGCAAGAUGUUCUUUUCCUUUUGCUAUAGAAAC
rnacentral:lncRNA from 1 species